UAUCAAUUAAGCGGAGGAAAAGAAACCAACAGGGAUUGCCCUAGUAACGGCGAGUGAAGCGGCAACAGCUCAAAUUUGAAAUCUGGCUCUUUCAGAGUCCGAGUUGUAAUUUGCAGAGGGCGCUUUGGCUUUGGCAGCGGUCCAAGUUCCUUGGAACAGGACGUCACAGAGGGUGAGAAUCCCGUACGUGGUCGCUAGCUAUUGCCGUGUAAAGCCCCUUCGACGAGUCGAGUUGUUUGGGAAUGCAGCUCUAAAUGGGAGGUAAAUUUCUUCUAAAGCUAAAUAUUGGCCAGAGACCGAUAGCGCACAAGUAGAGUGAUCGAAAGAUGAAAAGCACUUUGGAAAGAGAGUCAAACAGCACGUGAAAUUGUUGAAAGGGAAGCGCUUGCAGCCAGACUUGCUUGCAGUUGCUCAUCCGGGCUUUUGCCCGGUGCACUCUUCUGUAGGCAGGCCAGCAUCAGUUUGGGCGGUGGGAUAAAGGUCUCUGACACGUUCCUUCCUUCGGGUUGGCCAUAUAGGGGAGACGACAUACCACCAGCCUGGACUGAGGUCCGCGCAUCUGCUAGGAUGCUGGCGUAAUGGCUGUAAGCGGCCCGUCUUGAACCCC
rnacentral:rRNA from 1 species